rnacentral:tRNA from 1 species
UAUAUUUUAGUAUAGGAUGUACAGGAGUUUUUGAUACUCAACGUAAUAGUUUGACUCUAUUUAAUAUAA